ensembl:lncRNA
AUGCAGUCAUCUGGUCUCUGGAUAAUGGACAUCACUGGAUCUGACUGGAGCAAUGAAGAGGAUCCAUUACACCUCUCUUUCAUCUUUUUUGGCAACCAGAAUCAUAAGAAGUUGCCACUUCAAGUUACAGGAAAAGAAAUUCAAAUCAAAGAUGAACUGUCAGAUAUUGGCUCACUAUACAAAGUUCAGGUAACUGGCCCACAUAGCGAGCUAAAACAGCCGUGGCACUUAGAUUUACUGCAUAUGAAGCACACGGGCACAAAAGAAGAGAUGUAUUUAGCUUUUGACUGCUUGUUCAACCCUAAUGAAGACAAAUGUGUGGAACUGCCAGCUCUCUAUGCAGAUCAGGAGCCUUUGCCUGGUAAGCUAAGUCUGUUUUUUGUUACUGGGGUCAGGAUUGGUGUCACUGGAAUACUAGUAUCUCUCCUGGGCUGAAUAUUGAGAAAUGCGAUGUUUUGUGCAUGCAUUUAUCACUAAAGAAAGCUGAGGAAAGAGAAAUCACCAGUAUUAAGAUUAUGACAGAUGUUGUAACUGCUGAUACCAAACGUAGAAUGCAACUUCUUUUAUGUGAGGCAGUUUUCUAGUUUUAGUUCUUGAUUAUUUGCUAUAUCUUCACAUUAAUGCCAUGUCAGCUGAAGACAUGCACAAAAUAUUAUCUAGUGCAAUAUCACCCGAAUCUUCCUAUUCAUAAAGAAAUGUGUGUGACCUAGAAAAGUAGUCAGUGUUUUAAGGAAGACAGAAUUGCAAAGACUCCCUACAAAACAGAUAUAUAAUUUAAAAAACACAAAAUGUGUUACAUUAGCAAAGGGAUAGAUGAGAAUUUCAAUUGCUGUAGAGUUUUAUUGAUAUUGAUGAGAAAUUUAUAGUAGAGCAAGUAUUAUUCCAGCAAAAUAGAUUAAGUUGCACUUUUUUCGGCUUCUAGUAACACAUGUGAAUUGUGUAUAUGACGAUGACAGAAAUAUAAUAAAGUGAUAACCCCCAGUCCCCCAGGAAUAUGGCAAACAACAACUGCAUGUUGAUGACUUGAUCACUAGCUAUUUAAGAACAGACUUCCCAUCUAUCCAGCUCAUUAGAAUAAGGAAGAUUGAUGGGGAUAGUAAAGAUCAUGUAUUGGAGCUUUUGGUGACAGUUAAGAGGUUUAUUGCCAGAGGCUAUAGUACAAAGAGUAUUCUGCUUCAGCAGAAACUAGUAGAAAAAGAUGGAAGCUGCCCAGAAAAAGAAAUAAAAUAUUCCAUGUGAACUUUUGCACGCUGCUCUCUAGAGGGAUUUUCCUAACUAUUUUAUUCCAUUUAAAUUGAAAUCUGAACAAAUUAAACAAUGAAGACCUUUUAAAUAUCUGGUUUUAUGUGGGUUUUCAUAGCUUUACGAAAUUAGUAGCCUUGUAAUCAUUUACUGAAAAAAAUCUUAUGAUUUUACAUUUUUGAUCCAUCAGGUUCAAAAUAACAUCAGAUGUUGCAUGUAAUAUAUGCAGGAUAUACAAUGCUAAGUAUAAUAACUCUAGAGUUUGUUAAAAUCUCUGUUACCUCUCUAUUAGUAAUUACCUUUAUUAGUGUUUAUUUUCAGAAUUUGUAAUUGCUAAAUGUUAAACUAAGUAUUAAAGUUCAAUUCUAGAAUAUGUCCUACAAAGUCUUAGUUAGGCUAAGAAACAGCGGUGGUGUCCAAGAGCAUUAUCCUGAUUAGUAGAGCAAUUAAUUUGAGGUAAAAUAAGAAGUCUGAGACAGUAUCCUUGGAAAAUUUCUUGGAAGAUACAUGCAUAGUUUCUGCUCCAAAUUAUACCAUACUUGUGUAAUAUCUACCAAACUAGAAAGUUGCACAUAAACCAUUUUGUGGACAUCUAACUAAGGGAAAUAUAAUGCUCUUUCUUCCAGAUGUAACUCAUUUUGAGUCUGUGAGCUGUCCUUUUGAAACUCAGAUAUAUAUCCACAGAUGACAUAAUGACAUUUAUGAUAUUUAAAGAUGCACUGAAGGAGCAAUCUGCAGUCAAAAGUGUUAAUAUCAGUUUUGUUCUUUGUGGAUCCAACGCUAAUUCAGUCUAAAAUUUCUAAGCGUCAGCUUCUUCCUUGAAUUCUAAUUUUCUUACAGUUUUAGGCAUUUGCACUCAUUAUUGCUUCAAAAGAAAUAUCAGUUUUUGGAGAUGUCUUUAAUAAAUCUCUUGGUAAUAUAGAUUUAAAUAAAGACAAAAGAAAAAUGUUGAAAGUUAUCAAUCACUGCUAUCUCCAGACAAAUCAAACAAGUAGAUAACUCUAUAGGGAGCAAAGUAAAAGUAAAAAUUAUUGAAAUAAAUAGUAUCUUUCAUUAGUUAUGUGAACUGCUUGAUUGUAACAAAGGCUACAUUAAUGUAACUACUGAUCUUCUAAACUAAGUGAUCCUUAUUAUAUUAUUAUUAUAUUAUUAUUAUAUAAAAAAUGAGAUUUAUAUAGCAAAAAUAUGUAUCUGUGUUCCUUUAUGAUCUUCAGGAAAAUCAUAAUUUCUUCUUUAAAACCAGUGGUCACUCCCAGUUUUUUUCCUGCAUCUACAAGGCCUUUACAAAAAUAGUUUUGUACCUCUUUCUGAGCAUGUGAGAAACUCAUGUAUUCUGUCAAUGUAUCCUCCAUAUCCAACCUUGCCCAACGGGAGGUGAGGAUAACUUUAUGCCCAGUAAACCAGAGAUAUCAACUGCAUUUGGAUAUAUUGUUAGUAAUGUAAAAAACAAAACAAAACAAAACGCAACACACUAACAAAAUUGAAUAUUGAUUCUCUGAAAUUACUUUUCUUCCAUCUAUAAAAAUACCUUUUUCUUAGAAGUCUGCACCCAAGAUCACCAUACAAGUAGCUCCCUAGGUACAAUUAUAUUACAUAAACAAGAUCAAAUGAUUCUUUUGCAUAAUUUCAUUGGAUUCUGCGGCAGUACUUUAGAGCUGAAUUUGCCUUCUGGAUAUUACCUAGUAUCCAAAAAGCUACUACUUUGUCUGUUUUACUUAUUUUCACAUAUUAUCCUAGUAUUUAUAAGUGUAAUUUUACUCAAGUAUCACAGUCCAAAUUACUACUCAUGAAUCUCUGUGGCUUUCAGAAUAAAAGAUACUGAUUGAUUUUUUGUUGUCCUUCUAAAUUCUGUGACAAUUCUGCGAAGAGCAUUAAUGUGCAUGUUAACAC